CAGGGUGAGGCCGAAGAGGGAGAGGUAUCUGUUUUGGGAAUAGAAGAGAGUGUGUUCGAGUCACAUCACCCUGA